GGAGGGUGCAAGCGUUAAUCGGAAUUACUGGGCGUAAAGCGCACGCAGGCGGUUGGAUAAGUUAGAUGUGAAAGCCCCGGGCUCAACCUGGGAAUUGCAUUUAAAACUGUCCAGCUAGAGUCUUGUAGAGGGGGGUAGAAUUCCAGGUGUAGCGGUGAAAUGCGUAGAGAUCUGGAGGAAUACCGGUGGCGAAGGCGGCCCCCUGGGCAAAGACUGACGCUCAGGUGCGAAAGCGUGGGGAGCAAACAGGAUUAGAUACCCUGGUAGUCCACGCCGUAAACGAUGUCGAUUUGGAGGCUGUGUCCUUGAGACGUGGCUUCCGGAGCUAACGCGUUAAAUCGACCGCCUGGGGAGUACGGCCGCAAGGUUA
rnacentral:rRNA from 1 species